GACGUAGGAUGCGAGCGUUGUCCGGAUUUAUUGGGCGUAAAGAGUUCGUAGGUGGUUUGUUAAGUCUGAUGUUAAAGAUUGGGGCUCAACCCUGAAACUGCAUUGGAUACUGGCAGACUUGAGUGUGGUAGAGGCUGGUGGAAUUCCCAGUGUAGCGGUGAAAUGCGUAGAUAUUGGGAAGAACACCGGUGGCGUAGGCGACUAGCUGGGCCAUAACUGACACUGAGGAACGAAAGCCAGGGUAGCGAAUGGG
rnacentral:rRNA from 1 species